rnacentral:rRNA from 1 species
CCUACGGGUGUCAGCAGUGGGGAAUAUUGCACAAUGGGGGAAACCCUGAUGCAGCGACGCCGCGUGAGUGAAGAAGUAUUUCGGUACGUAACGCUCUAUCAGCAGGGAAGAAAAUGACUGUACCUGACCAAGAAGCCCCGGCUAACUACGUGCCAGCAGCCGCGGUAAUACGUAGGGGGCAAGCGUUAUCCGGAUUUACUGGGUGGAAAGGGAGCGUAGACGGCAGCGCAAGUCUGGAGUGAAAUGCCGGGGCCCAACCCCGGAACUGCUUUGGAAACUGUGCAGCUGGAGUGCAGGAGAGGGAAGCGGAAUUCCUAGUGUAGCGGUGAAAUGCGUAGAGAUUAGGAGGAACACCAGUGGCGAAGGCGGCUUACUGGACUGUAACUGACGUUGAGGCUCGAAAGCGUGGGGAGCAAACAGGAUUAGAUACCCGGGUAGUC